rnacentral:rRNA from 1 species
CGUGUAGGCGGGCGAUCAAGUCAGAUGUAAAAGGCGACGGCUUAACCGUAGUAUGUCAUCUGAUACUGGUUGUCUUGAGUUCGAGAGAGGGUGGUGGAAUUCCCGGUGUAGCGGCGAAAUGCGUAGAUAUCGGGAAGAACACCUGAAGCGAAGGCGGCCACCUGGCUCGACACUGACGCUGAGGCGCGAAAGCGUGGGGAGCAAACA